rnacentral:ncRNA from 1 species
UUCAUACGUGUACAAACAGGUGCAGAUAAAUUCAACACUUUUAUCUGCUUAAAAGGGAAGUUCGGUUCGAAUCCGACGCUGUCCCGCAACUGUAAUUGGGAGCGAUUCGAAGAUACCACUGUUUUCGCCAGCCGAAAAUGGGAAGGUUCGAAAAGCGAUGAUCAUAAGCCAGGAGACCUGCCUGUUUGAGCGCAACAUC